rnacentral:rRNA from 1 species
CAGCCGUAAACUAUGCUCGCUAGGUGUCAGGCAUGGCGCGACCGUGUCUGGUGCCGCAGGGAAGCCGUGAAGCGAGCCACCUGGGAAGUACGGCCGCAAGGCUGAAACUUAAGGAAUUGGCGGGGGAGGCACAACAACGGGUGGAGCCUGCGGUUUAAUUGGACUCAACGCCGGGAAGCUCACCGGAUAAGACAGCGGAAUGAUUGCCGGGCUGAAGACUCUGCAUGACUAGCUGAGAGGUGGUGCAUGGCGUAGACGUCU